rnacentral:misc_RNA from 1 species
GAUGAAGAACGCAGCGAAAUGCGAUAAGUAAUGUGAAUUGCAGAAUUCCGUGAAUCAUCGAUUCUUUGAACGCACAUUGCGCCCCCUGGUAUUCCGGGGGGCAUGCCUGUCCGAGCGUCAUUGCAACCUUCAAGCGCGGCUUGUGUGUUGGGUCUCGUCCCCCGUGGACGGGCCCGAAAGGCAGUGGCGGCGUCCCGACAUGGUGCCCGAGCGUAUGGGAAUCCUCUUCCGCUCGAAUCGGCCCAUGCGGCGCUGGUCGUAACCAAAUUUUUUACCGGUUGACCUCGGAUCAGGUAGGGAUACCCGCUGAACUUAAGCAUAUCAAUAAGCGGAGGA